rnacentral:pre_miRNA from 1 species
ACCACUGAGCCACCUUCCCAGCCCAGGAGUUAGCUAUUUUUUAUGAAAAAGAAAGGGGCUGGGAAGGUGGCUCAGUGGU